rnacentral:tRNA from 1 species
GGAACCGUGCCUGAAAUAAAAGGACCACUUUGAUAGAGUGGAUCAUGGAGAUUAAGCCCCUCCCGCUUCCU